rnacentral:rRNA from 1 species
UACGUAGGGGGCAAGCGUUGUCCGGAAUUAUUGGGCGUAAAGAGCGCGUAGGCGGUCCGAUAAGUCGGCUGUGAAAGUCCAGGGCUCAACCCUGGAAAGCCGGCCGAUACUGUCGGACUAGAGUCCGGAAGAGGCAAGUGGAAUUCCCGGUGUAGCGGUGAAAUGCGCAGAUAUCGGGAGGAACACCAAUUGCGAAGGCAGCUUGCUGGGACGGUACUGACGCUGAGGCGCGAAAGCUAGGGGAGCAAACGGG